rnacentral:rRNA from 1 species
UACGGGGGGGGCAAGCGUUGUUCGGAAUUACUGGGCGUAAAGGGCUCGUAGGUGGCCAACUAAGUCAGACGUGAAAUCCCUCGGCUUAACCGGGGAACUGCGUCUGAUACUGGAUGGCUUGAGUUCGGGAGAGGGAUGCGGAAUUCCAGGUGUAGCGGUGAAAUGCGUAGAUAUCUGGAGGAACACCGGUGGCGAAGGCGGCAUCCUGGACCAAUACUGACGCUGAGGCGCGAAAGCUAGGGGAGCAAACGGG